AACUUUGCACAGUGGCUGUAUCGUAGCCAAUGAGGUUUAUCUGAGGUUCAAUUAUUGCUAAUUUAAAAAAAAAAUUAGAACUUAGUCCCUUUCAGCUAGGGAAUGUUAUAGGACAAUAUAUACAUU
rnacentral:snRNA from 1 species